AAUACUAAGAAAAAUCAGCUAAUUCAUACAUCAACAAACUCCAACUAACAGUUCCGAUUAGUACAUACACACAUAAACAGUGCAAAUAUAUUUGCCUAACAAUUAAUUAAUUCAAAUUCAAUACACGAACUAGCGAAAUACUGUUUUUACAUACACGAACAUGUCAGUUACAGUUUGCUUAUCUCCAUGAGAAAAUCAUACUGGUUUUUACAAUUAAAAUAAUUAAUAAUUAAUAAAAAGCAGCUUUCCUUUUAAAUUGGUUAAAAAAAAAAAGAAAUCGAACCCAGGUUGAAGCAUUUACUCAUCCUUCACUCUACCACUGUGCCAAAUCGAAUUCAGUAAAGAAAUGCUAGGGAAAUCGUUACGUAGGAAUUAGUCGAUUUCCCUCGAUUAGGGUAUUCGUUUAUCCCUUUGUCCCCACACUGUGUGCUCAGCUACCGAAGAACUUGUGCAUUCGAAUCGCAGCGGAAAACAAUGACGACAGUUGUUCCCACCUCUGAAGAGGAUCCUUCGCUCGCGAUCGUCCGUUUCACUUCCCAGCUUGCCUGGGUCGACGCUGGUCCCGAGGCUGCAGAGCCUCAGGUUACAAGACUAUGCAGGGAGGCAGAAGAGUCUAUAGUAGCAGGAAGGUGGCUGGAUUUGGCAACGUUGAUGGUAACUUCAGCUGACUUGGUUUCAUCCAAGAUCUCUGACAAGGAUCUUGAGUGUACCUACACCAUAAUUUGCAGCCUUGUCAAGAAUGUGAGCAGCCCUGAGGAAGUCCUUGAAAUGGUGAAAGUGAUCGCUUCUAAGGUUGUUCAACAGCCGAAUGACAAAGCUUCAUUGCGUUUGAAAAUUCUCUUCAAUCUAUAUAACCUGCUGGACCACCCAAAUGCUCGUUUCCAAGUAUACAUGAAAGCUCUGGAACUGGCUGUUAGCGGGAAGGUGGCAGAUGAUAUAGUGCCUUCCUUUAAGAAGGUUGACAGCUUCUUGAAAGAGUGGAAUAUUGACAUCAAAGAUCAGAGGGAACUGUUUCUUGCCAUUGCUAAUGUGCUUAGAGAAAAUAAAAGUUUGGCGAAAGAAUCGCUUCAGUUUGUGACAAGAUACUUGGCGACUUUCUCAAAUGAGGAUGCCCAGGUCCUGAGUGAAGCCAAAGACGAAGCUGUACGAGCAGCUAUUGAUUUUAUCAAGGCUCCCAGUAUAUUUCAGUGUGAUUUAUUAGACAUGCCAGCCGUCGCACAACUGGAGAAGGAUCCUAACAGUGCACUAGUUUACCAGCUACUUAAGAUCUUUAUUACUCAGAGGCUGGACGCAUACAUGGAAUUCCAAAAUGCAAAUUCAGAAUUUCUGCAAACCUAUGUUCUUGUUGAGGAAGACUGUGUAGCGAAGAUGAGAUUGUUGUCACUGGUGGACUUGGCAUCAGAUGAAUCUGGCAAAAUACCAUAUGCCUCUAUCAAGAACAUUCUACAGGUAAAUGACGAGGAGGUUGAGUUGUGGGUGGUUAAGGCAAUAUCUGCGAAACUGGUUGAUUGUAAGAUGGAUCAGAUGAACCAAUUUGUAAUCGUCAGUCGCUGUGUAGAGAGUGAAUUUGGACAAACGCAAUGGCAAUCUCUUAGAACAAAGCUUGCAGCUUGGCGGGACAAUGUUGCGACUCAGGGAAUAAUGGCGAGUGUUCCGAUGGAUAUCGUCAACGAUGUAUUCCUCCGUCUUCCGGCUUCUACGCUGGUACGAUGUCGCGUCCUCUCGAAGCCUUGGUUCUCUCUUAUAGACAGUUCUGACUUCCUAGCGUCGCAUCUCAAGCGCACGCUCGAAACCGAAGAGCACCUCAUGAUCCUGCUGCAAUCUCAUCGCCUUCUACGUACAGUGUACCUCGACGGGCCGGAUAAACUAUCAGACGUCGACCAUCCUUUGCAAACCGGUAAUUUAACGAAGGUUUUCGGUUCGGUUAACGGUGUGAUCGGUUUAACGAACUCUCCCGUCGUCUUAGCGCUUUUUAAUCCGUCAACCCGGACAAUCCACCGGUUACCGAUUGAGCCUAUUGAUUUCUCGGAACGUUCCAUCACACGCGAGUAUGUGUUUUACGGAUUAGGUUACGAUUCGGUGAGCGACGAUUACAAAGUUGUGAGGAUGGUUCAGUCUAAGCAUAAAGGCUAUGAAGGUUAUCCUCUCCAAAUGGAAGGUUAUCCUCUCCAAAUGGAAGGUUAUCCUGUCGAAACCAAAGUUUUCAGCUUAAAGAGUAAUUCGUGGAAGAGAAUCCAUCUUCGUUUUGAGCCUCAAAUUCCUUUCAUGUUCUUGUAUUACCAUGUGCUGUAUCGUCGUGGGAAUGGUGUUCUUGCUAGCAAUAGUCUUCACUGGGUCUUGCCUGGAAACCCUCUCGCCCUCAGCAAGAUAAUCAGAUUUGAUCUUGCCACUGAUGAUCUUAGUGUCCUCAGUGGCCCACUGGAGCUUUGCCAUGAAGUUAUGAAUUUAGGUGUGUUAGACGGCUGCCUUUGUUUGAUUUGUCACGACUACCACAACAUCAGGAAUGGCCAUGUGGAUGUUUGGAUUUUGAGGGAAUACGGAGGAUCUUGGAGUAAAUUCAUUACUGUGCCGAAACCAGAGACUGUGGUGUCGUUUAAGUUUGUGAGACCUUUGAUUUAUUCCAAGGACAGGAGCAAAAUUCUCCUGGAGAUAAACAGUGGGACGCUCAUGUGGUUUGAUUUGGUGGAUAAGAGUUUUGAAACGCUUCAAAUAAAGGGAUAUAAGGGUCCAAGUAACGCGGAGAUCCUUGUGAGCAGCCUUGUUUUGGGAUGUAAAGGUGUUUCUGGCAGAGCUCCAGAGAAGAGAAUGUUGCAAAAGGGUAACAAAAGUUGGUAUGCUCAUCUUUGUAGCCUUGUUUUGGGGUGUAGAGGUGAUCCUCGAGAAAAGGAAAUAAUGGUGAAGGGUAACAAAAGGAGAGGUGGUUUUCUGUCCAAGGGAUUCAAGCUCAAGUUCUGAGCAAAGCACGGGAACUUUCAAGCCCAAACCUUCGUCAAGGUGACUAUAAUAAAUCUAAUGCUCAUGAAAUGUUUCCCUCAAGCUGGUAUUCUUCUUUCACUUUUCGAUAAGCUUACAUUGACAGUGAAAAUUAUAAAUAAUUUGGGCCAAAUUACUGCCACCGUAAAUUUUCGUUACGGCAAAGUCAUUGUCUUCUUGACGGGAGUGUUGGCAAGUGGAACUUGAGUCGACAAACAUCAUUGGAUAACGUUGACAGUGCAAGGCGUAGGUGGAAAGGAAAUGGCUUGAAGCAGCUUCAUCAAAUGCUAAACCCAUAUUAGGUCUUAGUACUAGUUAGCUUAACUAUGUAGUACGUAUAUAUCCUAAGAGAAGACAGUGUGCUUAGGUAACUUCUUUUGAGUAUGGCAUGUUUCAGUAUAACGUAAUUUGGUUUCCGCUUAGACUCGCAUCCUCAUCAAAAAUCUAAAUAGCCAAACGGGAUUUUCAGGA